UAGACACAGCUCAGUUUGUAGAGCAUGAGACUCUUAAUCUCAGGGUUGUGGGUUCAAGCCCUACACUGGGAAAAA